UUUAUGUACAAGCAGAAUUCUUAGAAUACACUACUGAAAAAAAGGCGUUUUCGACCAAAAAAUUUCGACCACAUUUUUGGUCAAAAAAAAAUCGACCACGCGCGGUCGAAAAAUCAAGAAUUUAAUUUUUAUUUUAUUUUCAGUAGGAUUUUGACCACACGGGGUCGAUUUUUUAAAAUGUAAAUAUAAUUUCGACCACGUGUGUUCGAAAUUAAAUUUUGUAUAAAUAAUAAAUGGGAAACGUUUAAAUUAAAAAAAAAAAAAAAACAAUUUUCGACCACAUGUGGUCGAAUAUUGAACCACAUUUGUAUAUACACAUCUGUUGGCUGGUCUUUACUUUUCAUAUUGAAGAUUUUUCUUUCUCUCUCUUUCCUCUCUCUACCCCCACACACACCACCUCUUUCCCUCUCCUCUCUCUACCCACACCACCAGCCCAGACCCUCAACCCACCGCCUUCCGACCACCACCAGUCCACCGUCGGCGGCGCAGCCCUUGCAUUUUCAGAGUAAAAUAUAUAACAAGCAUCUGCAAUGGGUUCUGGAUACCGGCUUAAAAAUGUAAUCAGUUUGGGAAAAGCUAAAGAUGGCAGAUCGAAAAGAUUAAAGGUGGGAUGUCAAAAACAGGCAAAUGCUGGAAAAUAUUCAAGAUUUUCGACCACUUGUGGUCGAAAAUCAGCCCAGAUAUUUCACAAUUUCGACCACAUGUGGUCGAAAUUGUACCCAGAAAAAUACAAUUUCGAUCACAUGUGGUCGAAAUUUAGCAAUAUGGUUUCCAGAUUUCGACCACAUGUAGUCGAAAAUCUGGGCCCAAUUUACAAUUUCGACCACAUGUGGUCGAAAUUGUGAAAAUAUUUUUUUUUAUAUUUAAAUAUAAAUAAUUUUUCGACCACAUGUGGUCGAAAAUAAUUUUCCCUUAAAUUCGGUAGAAUGUGAUUGCGACCACGUGUGGUCGAAAAACAAUUCGACCUACCGAUUAGCGAUCUACGCGUGUGGUCGAAAAAUUGGUCGAAAUAAAGGCCUUUUCGACCUCGUGUGGUCGAAAUAUUUGGUCGAAAAUCCCGGUUUUUUUUAAUAGUGAUAUUUGUAUUUGAUCAGAAGAUAACAGUCAUCGAUUGGAUCACUAGAGUUUGUUUGAAAUUUGAAAAUAAUCUCUUUAGUUACUAGAAAUUUCUGAUUCACGAGAAAAAACAAAUAAUUGUUGCAGUAUUAGGAUCAUAACAGCUUUAUAUAAGAGCUGUAUUCAAAACAAAAAACUAAGAAAUAUUGUUCUGAUUAAUUUCCUUAACGUGCAUGUUGUUUACAAUUUUAUAUAAAUAGUUAAUGGCAUUCCUUCUUAGUUAAUGUGGACAUAGAAACCACAGUUAAUUGUGGUAUUCCUUCUUAGUUAAUUAUGCCUCGUCCUUUAAAACAUUCAUUGUAACUAAUUGUGCAGCAUAGCAGGGGCGGAGCCAGUAAGGGUCAAGGGGGUUCAUCGGUAAAAAAUUACAUUGUAUGUACGAGGUAAAAAUUAUUUUUUAUGUAUACAUAGUAGAUAUCGAACCGCCUUGGCUUCUUUGUUUGCCUACUUCUUUAUAUUUUUAAACCCCUUAAUUAAAAUCCUAGCUCCACCACUACAGCAUAGUACUAUCAAAUUAUUUAGGUGGCUC